rnacentral:rRNA from 1 species
UACGUAGGGUGCAAGCGUUGUCCGGAAUUAUUGGGCGUAAAGAGCUCGUAGGCGGUUUGUUGCGUCGGCUGUGAAAUCCCGAGGCUCAACCUCGGGUCUGCAGUCGAUACGAGCAAACUAGAGUGUUGCAGGGGAGACUGGAAUUCCUGGUGUAGCGGUGAAAUGCGCAGAUAGUCAGGAGGAACACCGGUGGCGAAGGCGGGACUCCUGGGCCGGAUACUGACGCUGGAGGAGCGAAAGCCGUGGGGAGCGAACAGG